rnacentral:rRNA from 2 species
UGCUCCACCGGGAAAAGAGGAGUGGCGAACGGGUGAGUAACACGUGGGUAACCUGCCCAUCAGAAGGGGAUAACACUUGGAAACAGGUGCUAAUACCGUAUAACAAUCGAAACCGCAUGGUUUCGUUUUGAAAGGCGCUUUACGGUGCCGCUGAUGGAUGGACCCGCGGUGCAUUAGCUAGUUGGUGAGGUAACGGCUCACCAAGGCCACGAUGCAUAGCCGACCUGAGAGGGUGAUCGGCCACAUUGGGACUGAGACACGGCCCAAACUCCUACGGGAGGCAGCAGUAGGGAAUCUUCGGCAAUGGACGAAAGUCUGACCGAGCAACGCCGCGUGAGUGAAGAAGGUUUUCGGAUCGUAAAACUCUGUUGUUAGAGAAGAACAAGGGUGAGAGUAACUGUUCACCCCUUGACGGUAUCUAACCAGAAAGCCACGGCUAACUACGUGCCAGCAGCCGCGGUAAUACGUAGGUGGCAAGCGUUGUCCG